rnacentral:rRNA from 1 species
UACGUAGGGUGCAAGCGUUAAUCGGAAUUACUGGGCGUAAAGCGUGCGCAGGCGGUGAUGUAAGCCAGAUGUGAAAGCCCCGGGCUCAACCUGGGAACUGCAUUUGGGACUGCAAGGCUGGAGUACGGCAGAGGGAGGUGGAAUUCCACGUGUAGCAGUGAAAUGCGUAGAGAUGUGGAGGAACACCGAUGGCGAAGGCAGCCUCCUGGGCUAGUACUGACGCUCAUGCACGAAAGCGUGGGGAGCAAACAGG